UACAGAGGCCUCAAGCGUUGUUCGGAUUCAUUGGGCGUAAAGGGUGCGUAGGUGGCGCGCUAAGUCGGGUGUGAAAUUUCGGAGCUUAACUCCGAAACUGCAUUCGAUACUGGCGUGCUUGAGGACUGGAGAGGAGACUGGAAUUCAUGGUGUAGCAGUGAAAUGCGUAGAUAUCUGGAGGAACACCGGUGGCGAAGGCGGCAUCCUGGACCGGUAUUGACGCUGAGGCGCGAAAGCCGGGGGAGCAAACGGG
rnacentral:rRNA from 1 species